UACAGAGACUGCAAGCGUUAUUCGGAUUCACUGGGCGUAAAGGGUGCGCAGGCGGCCAAGUGUGUUAGGCGUGAAAGCCUGAGGCUUAACCUCAGAAUUGCACCUAAAACUACAUGGCUAGAGCAUUGGAGAGGGUAGCGGAAUUCACGGUGUAGCAGUGAAAUGCGUAGAUAUCGUGAGGAACACCAGAGGCGAAGGCGGCUACCUGGACAAUUGCUGACGCUCAGGCACGAAAGCGUGGGGAGCAAAAGGG
rnacentral:rRNA from 1 species